AUGUCUUCAAAUUUCCUCCUCCUUAAUUUAGGAAAAACUGAGGUCAUGAUGUUUGGUCUUGAACCUCUCUGGGACUGUACUGGGCUGUACUGGGACUGUACUGGGACUGUACUGGGCUGUACUGGGCUGUGCUGUACUGGGCUGUACUGGGCUGUACUGGGCUGUGCUGGGCUGUGCUGGGCUGUACUGGGCUGUACUGGGCUGUGCUGGGCUGUGCUGUACUGGGCUGUGCUGUACUGGGCUGUGCUGUACUGGGCUGUACUGGGCUGUGCUGGGCUGUACUGGGCUGUGCUGUACUGGGCUGUGCUGUACUGGGCUGUGCUGGGCUGUACUGGGCUGUGCUGGGCUGUGCUGUACUGGGCUGUGCUGGGCUGUACUGGGCUGUGCUGGGCUGUGCUGUACUGGGCUGUACUGGGCUGUGCUGGGCUGUACUGGGCUGUGCUGGGCUGUGCUGGGCUGUACUGGGCUGUACUGGGCUGUGCUGGGCUGUACUGGGCUGUGCUGGGCUGUGCUGUACUGGGCUGUACUGGGCUGUACUGGGCUGUGCUGUACUGGGCUGUGCUGUGCUGGGCUGUGCUGGGCUGUACUGGGCUGUACUGGGCUGUGCUGGGCUGUGCUGGGCUGUACUGGGCUGUACUGGGCUGUGCUGGGCUGUGCUGGGCUGUACUGUACCGGGCUGUACUGGGCUGUGCUGUACUGGGCUGUGCUGUGCUGGGCUGUGCUGGGCUGUACUGGGCUGUACUGGGCUGUACUGGGACUGUACUGGGCUGUGCUGUACCGGGCUGUGCUGGGCUGUGCUGGGCUGUGCUGGGCUGGGCUGGGCUGUGCUGGGCUGUGCUGGGCUGUACUGGGCUGUACUGGGCUGUGCUGGGCUGUGCUGUGCUGUACUGUGCUGUGCUGGGCUGUACUGGGCUGUGCUGUACUGGGCUGUACUGGGCUGUGCUGGGCUGUACUGGGCUGUGCUGUACCGGGCUGUGCUGGGCUGUACUGGGCUGUACUGGGCUGUACUGGGCUGUGCCUAACAUGCACCAGAAGCUUUGUGAGGUCAAUGAUCAUGUGACAGCAAGGUGA
rnacentral:lncRNA from 1 species